GGGCCACCACGUCCCUGAUAGUCAUGCUGUUGGUAUUCAGGUGGACCACCACGACCCUGAGGGUCGCGCGGUUGAUAUUCAGAUGGACCCCCACCUGGAUGUCCACGGCCCUGAGGGCCGCGCGGUUGAUAUUCAGGUGGACCCCCACUUGGAUGUCCACGGCCCUGAGGGCCGCGCGGUUGAUAUUCAGGUGGACCACCACCUGGAUGUCCACGUCCCUGAGGGUCGUGCGGUUGAUAUUCAGGUGGACCCCCACCUUGAUGCCCACGGCCCUGAGGACCGCGCGGUUGAUAUUCAGGUGGACCACCACCUGGAUUUCCACGGCCCUGAGGGCCGCGCGGUUGAUAUUCAGGUGGACCACCACCUGAAUUUCCACGGCCCUGAGGGCCGCGCUGUUGAUAUUCUGGUGGACCACCGCCUGUUUGUCCACGGCCCUGAUAGUCACGCUGUUGAUAUUCUGGUAGACCACCACCUGCUUGUCCACGGCCCUGGUAGUCACGCUGUUGAUAUUCAG
rnacentral:lncRNA from 1 species